UUUUUUUUCGUCCCACUCUGUAUAGAAAACUGCCCACGUUUUUCUAACUGCAAAACUUGUGUAGAAACUUCUCCCUCCACUUCUCCACUUACCCUUAUUAGCUUCUUUGUUGUAUAAACACAUUCAUCACUCCACUGACACAGAAACCUCUUUUUUUCUGCAACAAUGGAGCAAAUCGAAAAAUCAGAAGCAAUCUCAUGUUGGAGAUGACUGCAAUAUUGAAGAUCAAGGAGACAAGUAAUCCUCCUAUUUGCUUGAUCGGAGGGAGGGAAAAAAACAUGAAUGUCUAACUUGGGGAAUUGACAGCAAACGGGUUUUGAGGUGUUGAAUAGCUCUUCAGUCUUGCGAAAUCGUUGGUGGCAUAAAAAAAUCUCUGCUAGACCGCAAGGCUGGGACGCGCCGCCGCUGACAAGAAGAGGAGUUCAUUGUGACGGUGACGAAGAACAAGAAUCGAAGAAGCUAAAAAAUGAUGAUGGUGUUUGUAAUAAUGAUGAUAUAUAAGAGCUCCAAGUAAUCUGGCUGGCUUAGAUCUGUUUAGCUAUGGAACCAAUCCCUAAUCUGCGGAAAGAGCGAUUCCCCAAGGAAAAAUUGUUGUGACGGAGGUGAAGAUAAAUGGUAGUGGUGAGUGAUGACGCAUUUCAUCUGUUUAAGAAUUAGAAGAAAAAUUGUUGUGACGGAGGUGAAGAUAAAUGGUAGUGGACAAGCUUCUGGAUGGGACAAGCAUCACCUAUUUGUUUCUCAUUACUAAGUACCUCGGUUUGUUUGAGAGCUACUAGCAUAACAGAAAAGGAAGAAAAGAAAAAAUAAGAGGAAAGCCAACCUCUUGCUCUGUAUCAAGAUGAGUUUAACACUGUCAAGAAUUUGACAAGAAUGGGGAUGUUCAUGCAGGUCUUUCCAAGAACAAUUUCCUUAUGAAAGAUUGAAAAUAGUUGGUGGUUCUUAACGAACAUGGAUAGGCAUGGUGCCUUGGAGGUGGUUUAAUCUUUUAUGAAUACUAAUAAUAUGUUUAUCAAAAAUCAUGAAAUUGCUCCAUCAAAUCUACAUAUUUAUUAUUGAGAUGAAGUGCAAUGCCAUUACUGCUUCUAAUCUUACGAAAAUUUGAACUCACUAUUCUCAUUGUAAUAAUUUAUGUAUUAACUCCAAUUUUAUUAAUCUACCACAAUGAAAGCAAGAUGCAAAUUGUUACU